UACGUAGGGUGCAAGCGUUGUCCGGAAUUAUUGGGCGUAAAGGGCUCGUAGGCGGUCCGUCACGUCGGGAGUGAAAACUUGGGGCUUAACCCCAAGCCUGCUUCCGAUACGGGCGGACUAGAGGUAGGCAGGGGAGAACGGAAUUCCUGGUGUAGCGGUGAAAUGCGCAGAUAUCAGGAGGAACACCGGUGGCGAAGGCGGUUCUCUGGGCCUUACCUGACGCUGAGGCGCGAAAGCUAGGGGAGCAAACAGG
rnacentral:rRNA from 1 species